UUAAAUUAAUUUCUAAAGUGGACUUUAUUUUUUAGGGCAGUUUAGGUUCAGAGCAAGACUCAGCAGAACGGAAGGUGUUCCCAUACACCCCUCCCGCCAUGCACAACCGUUCCCACCACAGACAUUGACGCAUCAUUGUUUAUCACCCCUGUCUAUUAUUUUACAGUGAAAUCAAUUUCCCCAGCAGAAUGCCAGAUGAGCAUCUCAGAGGAUGUAAUUAUUUUAAUUUUCCAUGCGUAUAAUCCUGCCACCACCUAUAGUUAUGGGCAAUAAUUUUCAAAAUUCUUCUCAGUCAUUCUUAUCUUCAUAAACAGAGAAAUCUCUCCUCUCUGUCACCAUUUCUGGGAUGUGAGGGUCACACUAAACUUGCAGAGCAGGUCAGCAGAUGAGUCCGUGCAAAGCAAUCAAGCAAGCAGCGACCAGUUUUCAGGAUGCCCUGUGUGGUCCCCAGAGAAGACCUGAUGGGCUCCCGCUCCUGUGGUGGGCGUCGCUGCUCUGGCCAAGUCAGCCUUCCAAGCGGAGAGCGGCAACUCGCAUGCGCAGACCGUCACUGUGGGAGCAGCGCGGCUCCCUGCGCACACGCCGCCUCCCCGCUGACCACUGAGGCCGCAGGCUGUGCGGGGCCGGGUGCUGGGGCACCAGAGGCGGCCUGGCCCAGGAGCCCCGCCCGGACUCCGUUCCGGCAGUCCGGGGCCGCUGGGCAAGACCAUGGGUCAGUUCAUGGGAGUGAAAAUCUGUUGCCUUCCAAACCCCCUCCUCACGCUAGACGCGAGCCCUCGGGGCUUCCACGUACACAGACCAGCUCAGCUGUAUUACCAGCCACAGGCAAGAAAAAGCAUGCCAUCCUUCAUGUUGGAGCAUCAUGUCAUCUCUCAUCGGAGAGAAGCUGAGCUGGGGCAGUCAGCAGGCAUUUCUGCGGCCCCUGCCAGCCUCCUUCCCAGGCCAGGCCACUCAGCACGCCGCCAACCAGAGGCCACAGUGAGCCCCAUGCCCUGGGCCCGUGUGCCCCCCGGGAGCAUGCAGAGGCCUCAGGGGCAGUGAAACCUGCCUGAGAAUGACAAGAAAACCAAAGCCUAGAGGAAGUGCAAGGCAAGGGGCUCAGAGAAGAAUGGCGGCAGAGACUGGAAACAAAGCUGAAAUUGAGGAACAAUCCAGAGGAGACUAAAAAGCCAGCAAAUGUUGACUGACA